GACGAACGCUGGCGGCGUGCUUAACACAUGCAAGUCGAACGAUGAACCCGGAGCUUGCUCCGGUGGAUUAGUGGCGAACGGGUGAGUAACACGUGAGUAACCUGCCCUUGACUCUGGGAUAACUGCGGGAAACUGUAGCUAAUACCGGAUACGACCCUCGGCGGCAUCGCCAGGGGGUGGAAAGAAUUUCGGUAAAGGAUGGACUCGCGGCCCAUCAGCUAGUUGGUGAGGUAACGGCUCACCAAGGCGACGACGGGUAGCCGGCCUGAGAGGGCGACCGGCCACACUGGGACUGAGACACGGCCCAGACUCCUACGGGAGGCAGCAGUGGGGAAUAUUGCACAAUGGGCGCAAGCCUGAUGCAGCAACGCCGCGUGAGGGAUGACGGCCUUCAGGUUGUAAACCUCUUUUAGUAGGGAAGAAGCGAAAGUCACGGUACCUGCAGAAAAAGCACCGGCUAACUACGUGCCAGCAGCCGCCGUAA
rnacentral:rRNA from 1 species